UCCUAGAGAUGUGAUUGCCAUAUUUUAAAACUUUCAAAAGUGUUAAGUUGCCUGCUACAUGGGACUAAUUUAUUAAAAGUUUUCUGUUCAUUUUGAUUAGGGGAUUCAUGUGUCGCAUUAUGGCUUAGUGGACAGAAGAUUCAGGAGAUGGGAUUUCAUUCUACUUUCACGAUGACAUGGUGUAUGAACUGAAAUAGGUUACUUAGUAUUUUAUCUUUUAGUCUUUGUAUGUCAUAUAUUGGAUGCGAGGGUGCUUUGGCUCACAGUCGUCAUCCAUGGACUGCCAAGAUUCAUUUGACUGACCGAUUUGGCCAACCAGCCGCCAUGCUGAUAUGACGUCUAGGACAACCUGCUGGACAAAGGAGCUGUGUGGAGGAGAAUUGGACCCAGCUCAUCAGCAUCUCCAAAGCUUCAGAAAUAGUUUUCCACGUGUGAAUCAAACCUAUCUCCAGAGGACUCUGGCCAAAUUCUUCAAGUGUUUUCCUUGAAUCCUCUUACCUGAAUCAUGGUGAGAAUGAAGCACACCUCCCACAGAUCAGUGCAUCGGUCCCAGACAACUCUCUCUCUAAAGCAGGAUUUCUCAAUCUCAGCACUUUUGACAUUUGGCUCCUGGUAAUUCUCUGCUGGGGAGGGGGAGGGAGCGAUCCUGUUCCUUGUAGGAUGCAUAGCAGCAUUCCUGGCCUCUACCAACUAGAUGCUAGUAGCACCCCCCCACACACACACACACACAACCCCCACAGUUGUGACAACCAGAAAUGUCUCCAGAUAUGGUCAAAUAUCCCUGGGGGCAAAAUCACCUCCAGUUGAGUCACUGACUUAAAGGCUUCAUUUCUACAAAUCUCUCUACUUCCUAGUGACUUCCUUACCUCCUCUUUUUGGGGGAUGAAUGUGGGCUGUGGGCUAAUGCUGGAAGAAGAGCACCCCAAAUGCAAACCCUGCACAGAUGGUCUAGUACCUUGCUUUAGAAUGUGGGAACCCUUGCACCCUGUAAGACCUCAUCCAACCCCGAGCGUUGGUUGAACACAUCUCCAGGUUGGGCCUCAAAAUCAGCAAGAUACAGAGCAGCAGGGACAGCUGACAAUAACCAACAGCUUGAUUGAUAAGCCCUAAUAGAUGAACAGAAUGUGUUUUCCAUCAUCCGUGAAAUAAUCUAACAAAAAAACAAAUAUGGAGAUCCUGAUCCAGUAGGUCUGGGGUGGACCUGAGAUUCCGCAUCUCCACAAACUCCCAGGUGGCGCCGAGACUGCAGGACCAUGGGCCACACUUUGCAGAGCAAGGAACUAGAUGACCUUUCUAGAUGAUCAUCUCAAGGAUCCCACAUCACUCAGAAUUUUUCCUUCCUGUGCCCACUUUCCCUCUCUCUCUUUCUGAAUUUACUUUGGAAUAUCCAUUUCCUUAAUUUUUAUUUUUAAACAGCUUUAAUGAGUGAGAUAUAAUUCGCAUACCAUACAAUUCACACAUUUGAAGUGUACAAUUCGGUGGGUUUUAGUAUAGUCAGAGAGUUGUAUAAUCUCACCACCAUCUAAUUUUAGAACCUUUUUCAUCAGCUCUAAAAGAAACCCUGUAACCACUAGCAGUCACUCCCCACACCCCACUCCUCCCAGUCCCUGGAAACCACUAAUCUACUUUCUGUCUCUAUGGAUUUGCCUAUUGUAGAUAUUUCCUAUAAAUGGAAUCAUUCAAUAUGUGGCCUCCUGUGACUGUCUUCUUUUACUUAUCGUGCUUUUGGGGUCCAUCUAUGCUGUAGCCUGGAUCAUAGACUGCCCACCCUUUGCAGUCCUUUUCAGCCUACCUUAAGACUUACCAGAGGCCCGGUGAGGAUCAGGCAUCAUUAAUUGUUAUAUCUCCAGCCCUGAGAACAGUGCCUGAUUUCUAAUUAAGUGUGCCAGAAACAGGUGCUGAGUGACUGCAUGAAAUGCAAUGCUAGCUUAGCUACAGAUCCUAGAGAGCACAUUCAAGGGAUAUAGACAGAAAGAGGUGGCCAAGAGGUUUUGGCACAUGUAUAGGGAGUGGUGGGGGUGAGGUGACUGUGGUUGUUAAUACUGUAAUGUUGCUAUCAAGUGGGACUGAGAAGCAUGACUAAGUGGCUUUCCAGUGCACACAAUAAACUCAGUUGUCACUAACCUUUACCGGGACUACAUUUUCAGAGCACUUGGUCUAACAUUAGAGCUAUUCCAAGAAGGUCAAGUUAAUUUAUGUAUUUCAGUUUAAUUUAUGCAUUGAUUAUUGGAAGCCACUUCAGUUUUAGGGGCCCUUUAUGGCAGUUUUAGGAAAUUUGGAAUGAAUGGCAUGAAAACUUUCUGGAAAUUGUGGUAACCGAAUUCAAUUCAGUUAUAGUCAGCAAGCCGCUAAUGCGCACCUACUAUGCAAAAAGUAUUGUGGAUAUAAAGAAGAAUCAGACAUCUUUCCUUUAAGAAGUUUGCAGUUUAACCAGUGCUCCUUAAACUUUUAAAAAAUAAUCCUUGAAAUAUUUAAUACAUCUUUGAAAAAGGAGAGUUUUAUCCAUUUCUAGUAUGAGAGAUGGAGAAAAUCCUCUUGAAUAUUGGUUUGAAACCUGUUUCCACCCUUUUUCUUACAGAAAUCAGAAGCUGCAGAUAUACAAAUAAUAUCAUUUCACAUUUAAACACGAAAAUAAGGGAUUGAAACACGGGAAUAUUAAUCAGAAAACCUGAUUGCAAAUUAUAGCUGCCUUCAAAUACGUCCCUUUCCAAUUUCUUCUCUACCCCCAGUAAGGUAAUAUUUCUUUAUGCAAAACUAAUAUCACUCAACUGCUUAAAAUCCCUCCAUAACCUAUUGACUUUCACAUAACCACCUCUUCAUUUAUGCAAUGGUAACAAAACAAGCCAGCUAGCUAUAUGUUUCUCAGAAGACAUACCAGAAACCAAAUGACAUAGAACAGUUUCAAAAUAAAAGGAUGAACAGAAACAUACCCUGAAAUACUAACAAAAGAUACCAUAUGUACAAUAUUAAAAACAGAGUAAAUCGAAUUUAAGUAAAAAAAAAAAAAUUACAUCUUUAUUGAGAUAUAAUUCAUAUUACAUGAAAUUCAAUCUUCUUUUCCCCAAACACUCCCCUUUUCCACCUCCUCACUCCAUCCCCUGGGAACCUCUAACCUACCUUUUGUCUGUGAAUUCACUAUUUCUAGUCACCUCAUAAGUGAUAUCAAUACAAUAUUUAUCCUUAUGUGUCUUGUUUAUUUCACUGAGCAUUUUCAAGUUUCUUCCAUGUUGCAUAAUGUCUCACAGCUCCAGUCUUUCUUAUGGCUGAAUAAUAUUUCAUUUUGUGUAUGUUACACAUUUUGUUUAUCCAUUCAUUUGUUGACGGACAUUUGGGUUGUUCCAAUUUCUCUGCAA